UACGUAGGGACCAAGCGUUGUUCGGAUUUACUGGGCUUAAAGAGUUCGUAGGCGGCUUAGCAAGUGAGGUGUGAAAUCCCUUGGCUCAACCAAGGAAUUGCGCUUCAAACUGCUAGGCUCGAGGGAGAUAGAGGUGAGCGGAACUGAUGGUGGAGCGGUGAAAUGCGUUGAUAUCAUCAGGAACACCAGAGGCGAAGGCGGCUCACUGGGUCUCUUCUGACGCUGAGGAACGAAAGCUAGGGGAGCAAACGGG
rnacentral:rRNA from 1 species